UGAUGGGAAUGUUGUUUGGCU
rnacentral:miRNA from 1 species